UUUUUAGUAACAGAAAUCUGAGGACGCAGACGUGCUGGUACAUGACUUUUGAAGGUAAGCUUGCAUGGUCAACGUAACACUCAAGGAAAAAAUAUGCACGUAACAGAUUUAAUUUGGUAGGGGAUAUCCGUACAAUAGACUAUGCAAUAGUCAACAGAGUUUGAAGAGUCUGCGUGAGUAAAAAUCCCUAUAUAAAUAAAUAAAUAAAUAGUCCCUUGAGAGAUAGGUACGGCCACCAACAGAAACGCAAACUCAUCUCCCUCUUCUCACGCCUCCUCCCUCCUCGACAUGGACAUGGACGGAGCUAAUUCUUUGAUGCCACCCAUCAAUCCUGAUGCACAAGCGCUAAUUCUUUGAUGCCACCCAUCAAUCCUGAUGCACAAGCUCAGGACCAUACACCACCUGCGUAACAAAAGGAGCAUGCACCACCUGCGCGAAUUGAUCCAAUUAAGUUGAAUCUUACCUGCAAGAAUAGAGUUUGUGAUCAAUUUUAUUAAUACGACAUGACAUGAAAAAAAUUAUAUUUAUCCAAAACUUUUAUCAGAUUCAUUCAGCCCAGGGCAACACUAAGGUAGAGCUCAACAUUAAUGAUCCCUUGGAAGAUAACAAAACUGAGGCACCACCAGAUACAUCAACAGAAGGCAGAACAGAGGCGCCAAGAUCUACAAAUAUUCAAAGCGCAUCAACAGACCUGUAAGUCAAUUUGACAUAGCAUCACCGAGCUGAAUUUGUAAGGAUGUAUAAUAUAGUUGUUUCUGACAUGUGUACACCACGUGGUUGUAGCAGCAUGGCCCUUCUGCACACAGCAAUUUUGAGCAGCCAAGCCAGAUCAAGAAGCAACCAAUUUCUACAGCCCGUGUAACUCCCUGCUAUCAAAUCAUGGUCUCUACCAAAAAUAAAAUAUAGUUAGAAACCUAUCGUGUCAAUUACAAAAGAUAACAAAAAUAACACUUUAUUUUCCUUCAGGGUACAUGUAAAUGCUCACAUAAAUUACUAGUAGAGAUUAUGAGCGUAUUCAAUCAAGAACAGAAGGAUGUUGUUGAGAAAGCAGGAUCUGAUUCUUUACUUAAGCUUAAGGAAGUAGAGAUUCGACGCAAGCUAUGCAAGGAGAUUGCGGACAGUUUCGACUUAGACACAAAAGAAUUCAACAUUCAAGGUCAAAAUAUGCAUCAAAGAUGUUGAGCAUAUACUAGGCCUUCCAUCCCAAGGCGAUCCAAAAAAACAUAUACCUGAUUUGUUUGACAAGUACACAUGGAAGGAUUCUACUAAAAUUAAUUACUUGGAGUUGAGGGAAUAUUUCAGCAAGAACAAAAUCUAUGGUGAUGACUUUAUUCGCAUAUUUGUGCUGUACACCAUUGGUUUCUACUUGUGCCCAACACUACAGCCAUACGUCAAAUCAGAUUAUAUUAGGCUCGUUGAAGAAAUUGAUAAUAUCAAGAACCUAAACUGGAGCAUCCUGGUUCUUAAUUUCUUGAUCAGAAGCAUACGGGAAUACAGGGAGGUAAAGGUAGCUAAUCUUAAAGGGAAUCUAACCCUUUUGCAGGUAUGUACAUUGCAUAUACGGAACAAAGAUUCAUAACACUAUGUUUAUAUUCCUAACAAACACAAUUGAAUUUUUUUAACUACAGGUCUGGUACUAGGAGAAGUUGUUUAUGUCUCAUAUGUACCCUACAUUACAACAGCAUGCAGGGGACAAACCACUUAUGCAGUAUUGGGACGAAAAAAGGAGCCAAAGAACGAUGCAAACUAGCACGCAACCAUCAUUUUGGGAAAAGGAAGGUAAAAGUAGAUCGGAUAUUAGUAAUCAUCUCAUUACUUUAUAGAUAUCCCAGCAGCUACUAACAAAAUCCUUCUUUCUAUUUUAUAUCAGAUUGUAUAUGACAUUACAAGUCCUAAAUAUAAGAACUCAUGCUCAGUUUCCCAAUGCCACACAACAACAGAACAAUCUGACUAGGGACAAGCAGAUAGCAAUUCCAAAAAUAUGCAGGAACUUUAAGUGUCCAUUACCAAUCAGUACAGGUUACUAUCAAAUCAAAUUGAUGACAGGUUCAAUGCACUUAACAAGUGGUUCGAUGAUGUCAUAGAAGAACAACAUGUAAGUUUGUUACCAUAUUAUUUGGCAUACCUUCAUUCAUUUCCGAGUUUGACUACCAUCAUUUGCAGCCCUUCUAACCUUGCAAGAAUCAAGGGGAGUGAUACAACCUACAAAUAUCAUGCUCGAGACGUCGGACACACAUAUAGGCAAGCCUGAAAUCAAGAAAAAGGAGGAUAAGCACAACCAAAGCAGCAAGCUACAGCGAGGAAUCCAUUGAAUCGUCAAAAAAAAACCCCAUCCAACAAACAAACGUCGAUUAUGAGUACAAUAUUGGCACAAAACAUCAUCGACCCAACAAGAACAAGGAAAAAGAAGAGAUCCCAGAUGUUGCGAUGCCUUAUAACCACUAUCAACUGAUAGCACGUCAGGUGGUACUACUCUGUGUGAGUUUCUUUACCAUUCCAUAGAUAAUAUUAGUCAUCUAACUAUUAUCUGUAGAGUAUUUGGUCAAUGCAGAUGACUUGUCCACUAUCCAGUAGAUCAAUUCAUCAUCACUGGAUAAAGUUUUGGUUAAUAUUGGUAUUUACACAGCAACAAGAAAAGAUCUAGAGUGCCUUCUCAACAAUGAAAUGUUCCUGAAUGAUUCAGUAAGUAUAUCUCUACAUAAAAAUGUUCUAUUUCAACAUUACAAUCUAAAGAUGUUUAACUUGCAAGUAAAGGUUAUGAAUGCUUAAAUCCGAAUACUAAAAGCAUAACCUACUAUCAAGGAAAGGGAAGAUGGAUAUGCCUACCUAGAGACAACUUACAAUGCCAACAUGAUAUGUGGGGAUAUCAUCGCUUCAUUACGAAAUAAAGAUGAAGGCAACUUCCGUUUAUAUCAGACAUUAAUUUAUCUCAAGCAUGAUAUGGUACAACUUGCAUCCUGUUACAGCUAUGUAAGGUUGAGUUGACAUAGGCAAACAUCUAACGAAGCAAGUUUUUUAGGUCUUCUUUCCAAUCAACAUUAAAACUAGUCAUUGGUAUUUGGCGGUCAUCAAUGGUCGUAAGGGUGUCAUUCAGGUACUUGACUCCAGGGGGACUGCCACUAGCCGGCCUCAAGUACAUCAAUUGGUGAGACACUAAUAAUCUAGUACCGACUACUUAAUAACAAAUUGUACAUGAUUAUCUCAACCACUGAUGAUUAUAUUGAACUCAGUUGCAAGGGUUGCAGAACCGUAUGAAACACCUUGCAGACCUUAAAUUGAUCACAGAACAUAGGUGAAAGGACACCCAAGUCAAAGAAUGGCCAGUCAUUGAAUGCGUCAAUAAGAAAAUCCAGAUUGACAAGUACAAUGCACAUCAACACUUCUCAAUAUACUCUAGUCCCCAUAAUUAGUACUUCCUAGCUUGUGUAAAUACCAAAUAAUCUCGCAGCGCAUCGUGUGGACUAUUCAACGUGAAAUUCAUGGAGCUUUGGACUGGAAACAGGUUAUCUUCCUUAUUCACGCAAGUAAUUUGAGCAAUACAGAUUCAGCAACCCAAUCUAUACCCCAUCUUACAUUAUAGCUAACAAGCACUUGUAUUUGUUAUGCACCGUAUUUGUUAUGCACCGAAGGAUAUGGCUAAUUUUAGGCUCAAGCUAGCUGUCACAUUGGUUAACUAUGCGUGGAACAAAGUGAAAGGACUAGCGAUGCCGAGGAGACCUACAUGCUGGAAGAUAAUGAAAAAUAGAUUAAAUUUCAUUUUUUUCGUGUUUACUUCCUUAUAUAGGAUGAUCGAAUAUUCCAAUCCAAUCACGUUCUUUUCAUAUCUAUGAUCAACAAACAAUGACACAGUUCUAGUUCCUAAAUAUCAAGGAUUAUACUUAACUUACUUUAUUAUGAUCAAAUAAAUGGUACAAAGCUACCAGCGCACUGUGACAGUACGACAAAUGGAACUAAAAGAAUGGUCUUAGUUCAUUCAGCAGCAUGUUUUCCUUUCCGCACUCACUAUGGAGAUGGUAACUACAGAAACUAAUCCAACACAUUAAUGGAAUCCCUUGAGCACAAAACAAGCAUCUUUUGUGCUUUCUAUCAUACUAAAUGAUAUAGAGGUAUUUAGAAAUAAUCAUGUACCAAUCUCCCCGGUAAUAGAAAAGAAUAUGGUACUAAUCUUUUUUGACAUCAUGAAAUCAACCUAGGAACUAUGGAUCAAAAUGAUAAACGAAAAUGAGGAGACAUAUGAAUCUCAUUUUUAAACUAACAAAUCCUUGCUAUGACAAGCAAUAUCCAACAAGCAUACACAAUUAUAAGUCAAACAUCACCGCUAUGACAAUCGAUUCAAUGUGAAGGAGCACUUACUCUUGCAUCUAAGACCUUGACCGGCGCAGGCCGUUCCGUCAGUGGCUAGGUUUCCCCACCGCGUUGCCUCUAUUGCCUUUCCGUCCACGGCCGAUGGCACAUCUAGCGAAUGCAUCCGGCCCACCCCGACCCAGGAAUCGGACGCUUGCCACCACUUGCUGUCCUCCCUCGCCGCUCGCUGCUGCUCACGCGGACCUGCCACGGCUGGUGCCUUGACCUCGCGCUGGGGCUGCAUGCCGAUGUUCGCUCGCGCGACGAAGCCCUGCCCCAAACCAGUCGCACCAGCCCGGGCCGCCACCGCCGCCUGUUGCCACCUCUUACCCUGGCGUGGACCCACCCUGCUGGGACCCACCCUGGUGGCCGGUGGCUAAUCCUCGCGGGGCCGCGUCGAUGCGGGAGGGAGA
rnacentral:lncRNA from 1 species